UACGUAGGUGGCAAGCGUUGUCCGGAUUUACUGGGCGUAAAGGGAGUGUAGGCGGAUACUUAAGUCAGAUGUGAAAUACCCGGGCUCAACUUGGGUGCUGCAUUUGAAACUGGGUGUCUAGAGUGCAGGAGAGGAAAGUGGAAUUCCUAGUGUAGCGGUGAAAUGCGUAGAGAUUAGGAAGAACACCAGUGGCGAAGGCGACUUUCUGGACAAUAACUGACGCUGAGGCUCGAAAGCGUGGGGAGCAAACAGGAUUAGAUACCCUGGUAGUCCACGCCGUAAACGAUGGGUACUAGGUGUAGGGGGCAUCGACUCCCCCUGUGCCGCCGUAAACACAAUAAGUACCCCGCCUGGGGAGUACGGUCGCAAGAUUAAA
rnacentral:rRNA from 1 species